AAAAUGUCCACUUUUUGAUUGAAAAGACAAAAAUACCCUCAUUUAAAUAUUUGUACUCUCUCUCCAGGUCUUUCUCCUCUCUCAUUCUCUUCUCUCUCUCCACUCUCUUUCUCUCUCUUCUCCCUCACGGUACACUCCUUUCCCCUUCUCUCUCUCUCUCUCUCUCCCUCCCUUCCUUCGAGCUCAGAUCGCUGGCGAAGCGCCGCCGCCUCGGCCUCGUCGCCUCCGCCAUCUCCUGCUUCGCCCCCCGCCGCGAAGCGCCGCCGCCCCCGGCCUCGUCGUCUCUGCCCCGGCCUCGUUGCCUCUGCCAUCUUUUGCUUCACCCCCGGCCGCGAAGCGCCGCCGUCAGCAAUCGCAACGGCAGCGCCGCGAAGCCACCACCACCGCGACGCACAGCGGCAGCGCCGCACAGCAAACCAACGCCUAUUUUCCCUCUCUCCGUGGUCCGACAACUCUAUUUACUAGACUCCAGUGACCAGAUCUCGGCCUCCCUAUUGCAGCUCUCUUUCUCACCGUCGUGGAUUCCCCGCGCUAGGGUUUAAUCAAUUCGUCUGAUCCUCAGGUUUUCCAGAAAUUGAGAAGUUAUUAACAUUUGCGAAUUCGCAGCUGCUUCUCCUUCCCGACGCCUAGGGCACGCUUCAUCUUCAUAAAACCUUUUCUGUUUGUAUGUUCCUUCAUUUUCCUUUUAAAUUUGCAUAAAGAUUGUCUUGUUGAUAUAUGCAAUUCUUCAAAAAGUAUGUCGACUUGUAUUCUAUUUAAUUGUUCGGCGACAGUAAGACAUUAGUAAAAAUGUCUGUCUCUAUAUUAAAGGGGGCACUUCCCCUCAUAAUACUUCUCGAAAGAAAGGAAUGAAAUAUCUUGUUUGCCUCAUAUUACUUAAAAGCUGGAGGGAACGUACUUGCAUCUCUGGUUGUUCAUCCGGAGGUGGUUGAGCAGAAAGAGAGGAAGUCAAGGGGAACGAGGGUGGCGGCAGCCGGCGACUGUUCGCGGCGGCAGACAUUGAAGGGCGGAGGAGAUGGACGGAUUCCGUGAGAGAGGGAACUGGCAGUGUGCGUGUGGGUGAUAUGUUGAAUUUAAUUCACAACUGAGAUUGUUGAUUCGAAGGAAUUGUUGUAUUUUGAUUGUAGAUUGAAUUGAUUCGGAUAAUAUUUUGUUGUAUUUUGAUUGUUGAUUUAGAGGAAUUGAUGUAUUUUGAUGGUAGAUUGAGUUGUUGUAUUUUGGUGUUGUACAACAAUUUGAUUGAGCUGUAUAAUUAUUUUUUUAAUGUUCUUAAA